rnacentral:rRNA from 1 species
GCCCUUGGAUGAGCCCGCGGCCUAUCAGCUUGUUGGUGGGGUGAUGGCCUACCAAGGCGACGACGGGUAGCCGGCCUGAGAGGGUGACCGGCCACACUGGGACUGAGACACGGCCCAGACUCCUACGGGAGGCAGCAGUGGGGAAUAUUGCACAAUGGGCGCAAGCCUGAUGCAGCGACGCCGCGUGGGGGAUGACGGCCUUCGGGUUGUAAACCCCUUUCGCCCGGGACGAAGCGAGAGUGACGGUACCGGGAGAAGGAGCACCGGCCAACUACGUGCCAGCAGCCGCGGCCGAAGGGC